rnacentral:rRNA from 1 species
GAUGAACGCUGGCGGCGUGCCUAAUACAUGCAAGUCGAGCGAACAGAUGAGGAGCUUGCUCCUCUGACGUUAGCGGCGGACGGGUGAGUAACACGUGGAUAACCUACCUAUAAGACUGGGAUAACUUCGGGAAACCGGAGCUAAUACCGGAUAAUAUAUUGAACCGCAUGGUUCAAUAGUGAAAGACGGUUUUGCUGUCACUUAUAGAUGUAUCCGCGCCGCAUUAGCUAGUUGGUAAGGUAACGGCUUACCAAGGCAACGAUGCGUAGCCGACCUGAGAGGGUGGUCGGCCACACUGGAACUGAGACACGGUCCAGACUCCGACGGGAGGCAGCAGUAGGGAAUCUUCCGCAAUGGGCGAAAGCCUGACGGAGCAACGCCACGUGAAUGAUGAAGGUCUUCGGAUCGUAAAACUCUGUUAUUAGGGAAGAACAAAUGUGUAAGUAACUAUGCACGUCUUGACGGUACCUAAUCAGAAAGCCACGGCUAACUACGUG